GACGAACCGAGCGAACGUUGUUCGGAAUCACUGGGCUUAAAGGGCGCGUAGGCGGGUGCUCAAGGCCGUGGUGAAAUCCUCCGGCUCAACCGGAGAACUGCCUCGGAUACUGGGUGCCUCGAGGGUGGUAGGGGUAUGCGGAACUAUCGGUGGAGCGGUGAAAUGCGUUGAUAUCGGAAGGAACGCCGGUGGCGAAAGCGACGUACUGGACCUCUUCUGACGCUGAGGCGCGAAAGCUAGGGGAGCAAACGGG
rnacentral:rRNA from 1 species